ACUCCUACGGGAGGCAGCAGUGGGGAAUUUUGGACAAUGGGGGCAACCCUGAUCCAGCCAUGCCGCGUGCGGGAAGAAGGCCUUCGGGUUGUAAACCGCUUUUAGCCGGGAAGAAAAGGCAGGGGCUAACACUCUCUGUUCUUGACGGUACCGGCGGAAUAAGCACCGGCUAACUACGUGCCAGCAGCCGCGGUAAUACGUAGGGUGCGAGCGUUAAUCGGAAUUACUGGGCGUAAAGCGUGCGCAGGCGGUUCGUUAAGUCUGAUGUGAAAGCCCCGGGCUCAACCUGGGAAUGGCAUUGGAUACUGGCGGGCUUGAGUGUGGCAGAGGGGGGUGGAAUUCCGCGUGUAGCAGUGAAAUGCGUAGAGAUGCGGAGGAACACCGAUGGCGAAGGCAGCCCCCUGGGCUGACACUGACGCUCAGGCACGAAAGCGUGGGGAGCAAACAGGAUUAGAUACCCUGGUAGUC
rnacentral:rRNA from 1 species